UGGGGAAUAUUGGGCAAUGGGCGCAAGCCUGACCCAGCAACGCCGCGUGAGGGAAGAAGGCCUUCGGGUUGUAAACCUCUGUCCCAGGGGACGAAAAAAAUGACGGUACCCUGGGAGGAAGCUCCGGCUAACUACGUGCCAGCAGCCGCGGUAAUACGUAGGGAGCGAGCGUUGUCCGGAAUUACUGGGCGUAAAGGGUGCGUAGGCGGCAAGGCAAGUCAGAUGUGAAAUCCCCGGGCUUAACUCGGGAUCUGCAUUUGAAACUGCUUUGCUUGAGUGCAGGAGAGGAAAGCGGAAUUCCUAGUGUAGCGGUGAAAUGCGUAGAUAUUAGGAGGAACACCAGUGGCGAAGGCGGCUUUCUGGACUGUAACUGACGCUGAGGCACGAAAGCGUGGGGAGCAAACAG
rnacentral:rRNA from 1 species